rnacentral:rRNA from 1 species
CCUACGGGAGGCAGCAGUAGGGAAUAUUGGACAAUGGGUGCGAGCCUGAUCCAGCCAUGCCGCGUGCAGGAAGAAGGCCUUCUGGGUUGUAAACUGCUUUUAGCCGGGGGAUAAAAGACCCAUGCGUGGGGAAUUGAAGGUACUCGGUGAAUAAGCCACGGCUAACUACGUGCCAGCAGCCGCGGUAAUACGUAGGUGGCGAGCGUUGUCCGGAUUUAUUGGGUUUAAAGGGUGCGUAGGCGGCCCCGUAAGUCAGUGGUGAAAUACGGCAGCUCAACUGUCGAGGUGCCAUUGAUACUGCGGGGCUUGAGUACAGUCGAGGUAGGCGGAAUUGACGGUGUAGCGGUGAAAUGCUUAGAUAUCGUCAAGAACACCGAUAGCGAAGGCAGCUUGCUAGGCUGUAACUGGCGCUGAGGCACGAAAGUGCGGGGAUCAAACAGGAUUAGAUACCCUGGUAGUCCGCACAGUAAACGAUGGUCACUCGGUGUUGGCGGUACACGGCCAGCGCCUUAGCGAAAGCGUUAAGUGACCCACCUGGGGAGUACGCCCGCAGGGUGAAACGUCAAAGGAUUGACGG